rnacentral:rRNA from 1 species
UACGGUAGGGGCGAGCGUUGUCCGGAAUGAUUGGGCGUAAAGGGCGCGUAGGCGGCCCCGUGUGUCGUGUGUGAAAGCCCCGGGCUCAACCCGGGAAGUGCACGCGAAACUGCGGGGCUUGAGCGGAGUAGGGGAGAGCGGAAUUCAUGGUGUAGCGGUGAAAUGCGUUGAUAUCAUGAGGAACACCGGUGGCGAAGGCGGCUCUCUGGAAUCCUGCUGACGCUGAGGCGCGAAAGUCGGGGGAGCAAACAGGAUUAGAUACCCCCGUAGUCCCUGA